CGACAAGCUAGAUAAGGGCGUAUGGGGAAUGCCUAGGCUCUCAGAGGCGACGAAGGACGUGAUAAGCUGCGAAAAGCCGCGGGGAUCGGCACACACGAUAUGAUCCGCGGAUGUCCGAAUGGGGCAACCCACCACGCUGAAGGCGUGGUAUCCCGCAAGGGAGGCAAACCCGGUGAACUGAAACAUCUAAGUAGCCGGAGGAGGAGAAAACAAAAGUGAUUCCGAGAGUAGCGGCGAGCGAAAUCGGAUUAGUCCAAACCAAUGUUGUUUCGGCAAUAUUGGGGUUGUAGGACCACGCUGUUCGAACUACAAUGAACUAGAACCCUUUGGAAAGAGGGGCCAUAGACGGUGACAGCCCGGUAUAGGCAAAGCGUAGUGAGAUAGUGGUAUCCUGAGUAGUGCGGGGCACGUGAAACCCUGUAUGAAACCGGCGGGACCAUCCGCCAAGACUAAAUACUCCUGAGAGACCGAUAGUGUACCAGUACCGUGAGGGAAAGGUGAAAAGAACCGUGAAUAACGGAGUGAAAAAGAUCCUGAAACCAUACGCUUACAAGCGGUCGGAGCCGCGCCUUGUGCGCGGUGACGGCGUGCCUUUUGCAUAAUGAGCCUACGAGUUACUUUUACUGGCAAGGUUAAGUCCUUUAGGGACGGAGCCGUAGCGAAAGUGAGUAUGAACAGGGCGCCCAUAGUCAGUAGUAGUAGACGCGAAACCGUGCGAUCUACCCAUGGGCAGGGUGAAGCAGUGGUAACACACUGUGGAGGCCCGAACCCGUUGACGUUGAAAAGUCUUGGGAUGACCUGUGGGUAGGGG
rnacentral:rRNA from 1 species